rnacentral:rRNA from 1 species
GACGAACACUGGCGGCGUGCCUAAUACAUGCAAGUCGAGCGGACUUUCAAGAAGCUUGCUUUUUGAAAGUUAGCGGCGGACGGGUGAGUAACACGUGGGCAACCUGCCUGUAAGACGGGGAUAACUCCGGGAAACCGGGGCUAAUACCGGAUAAUAUCUUUCUUCGCAUGAAGGAAGGUUGAAAGGCGGCGCAAGCUGCCGCUUGCAGAUGGGCCCGCGACGCAUUAGCUAGUUGGUGAGGUAACGGCUCACCAAGGCGACGAUGCGUAGCCGACCUGGGAGGGUGAUCGGCCACACUGGGACUGAGACACGGCCCAGACUCCUACGGGAGGCAGCAGUAGGGAAUCUUCCGCAAUGGACGAAAGUCUGACGGAGCAACGCCGCGUGAGCGAAGAAGGUCUUCGGAUCGUAAAGCUCUGUUGUCAGGGAAGAACAAGUACCGUUCGAAUAGGACGGUACCUUGACGGUACCUGACCAGAAAGCCACGGCUAACUACGUGCCAGCCGCCGCGGUAA